rnacentral:lncRNA from 1 species
AGGAUCCGCCGACUGCCUUUGGCUCUAAGUUAUUUUUUGAAGAUUUUUGGGUGAUUUUUCGGCGGAGUCUUAGCGGCGCUGCACCCUCAGACAGGUUCUGGAGUCCCUCCCGCUAGAUUGAUGAGAUCAGGCAUC